UACGUAGGGUGCGAGCGUUGUCCGGAAUUAUUGGGCGUAAAGAGCUUGUAGGCGGUUUGUCGCGUCUGCUGUGAAAUCUCAAGGCUCAACCUUGAGCUUGCAGUGGGUACGGGCAGACUAGAGUGUGGUAGGGGAGACUGGAAUUCCUGGUGUAGCGGUGAAAUGCGCAGAUAUCAGGAGGAACACCGAUGGCGAAGGCAGCUCGCUGGGACGUAACUGACGCUGAGACGCGAAAGCGUGGGGAGCAAACAGG
rnacentral:rRNA from 1 species